CUGCGAAAUCGCUGCUUGUUUCCCAUCUCUAGAUAAAUUAAAAUCUUCCCUUGUCUGGUUGAUAUACGUAUCUCUAAGUUUCAUAACUAUGGCUGCUUCAACGAGACUUAAAAAUGAGUAUAAAGGAAUCACGUGUUAUUGGAGGAUCGAAAAUUUCACUUGGACACCUGGUAACAAAAUUAGUAUUUACUGUUCACCUUUUAGAAUUGAGAGUUUGAGAUCACAAUGGCAAAUAGAAAUCCGUGAUGAAGAAGAAUGCUUGAAAACCUACCUUCACAAAAUAACUAAUGAUUCAAGUACCAAACUUGAUGUUACCCUGUCUUUAUAUACACGUUCAGGUUGGAUAGUUAUUUUCGAUAAGAUGGAAAUGGAAUUUAAAUCUGGAUUAAGAGGACGGGGUUUUGAGUUUUUGAGUUUUGAAGAAAUAGAAAUACAAAGAAAAUUAUAUAUAUACCAAGGAGCAUUGACAUUAGUUUUUCGUAUUUUUAACAACCAAAUGGCCAAUGAGACUUCCCUGUGCUUGUUGUUUUCCCAAAUGAGUGGAAAAUAUUGCCAACAUGGACCUCCUCAAAUUUUUUCAACUUUGAAAUCGAAUUGCUUGCUUCCUUUCCCGCCUUCAUUUGAGUUUCAGAUUAACUCACUGACAAAUCAAACUCAGAAACCUAAGGAGGUGAAAACGCAAUUGACUCAAACCGAUGAAAUAGUUGAUUUUAAGGACAAAGACGAAUUACUUCAAAUGUUCACUGAAAAGCAAUUCAACUUCGUCACACUUUGCACCCCAAACAAGAAAUUCUUCCUGCAUAAAGCCGUAUUGUGUGCAAAAUCUCCAGUCUUUAAAGCCAUGUUCGAUAAAAACAUGAUUGAAAAUGAAUAUAAUUCAGUUGAUAUUGAUGAUAUCGACACUGAAACUAUGACCUCGUUUAUAAAGUUUUUGCAUUUCGAACCUAUUGGUGAUCUAAGCCAAGAAUCUGCUGUGUUGCUAUACUACGCGGCCGAUAAAUAUCAGAUUGAUUCAUUGAAGAAAAAAUGUGUCUCCAUUUUAGCGGAAGGAUUAUCUGUUGAGAACGUUUGUGACAUUUUUGUUCUUGCAGAUUCGCAUCAAGACAAAGAACUAAUGUCUUAUGCUCAAGAAUAUUUUUGCAAAAAUUCGAAAUUUAUUUUUCUUUCACAACAUUGGAAAGACUUAAUUAUGAGUCACCCUGAAUUGAUAGCUGAAAUAUUAUACAAAUCGGCGCAAAACAUGUAAAUUAAUAAUGCAGUGCCAGAAAUUGCAAUUUCAGAUGCGUGAAUGGCUGCAAUAUAAAUUGUUCCUUUCUCAGCCUUACUCCCAAGGAACCAAGAAAAAAAAUGCUCCUGCAGCCUGCAGUACAUCUGAAUUUGUAAAGAGGAGUUUUACUCGGAACGAUAAUGAAAACAGAAAAAAUUUAAUGAAUAAUAAUGAAAUAUAUUUUUUGCAAUGCCAUUAGUUUAAUAGCAAUUUGAGAA